AAGAAAUAUGUGGCAAAUGAUCAAAACUGUUUGGCACCACUUGAAUUUACUAUAGCAAUGAAGUCUAACCUAUUUCGGUCCUCUGUCUUCUGUGAAACAAGCUGCUCUAUAGACUUAAUGUGC